CUCAUAAAAUCAAUCAUCCAAACAAAUUUAACAGUCUCACCAAUUUUUUCUUCUCACAGACAAAACAACAAAGAAACAGUUAUUCAAAUUCAAUUAUCCUUUUAUCACAAACAAACUCUCACUUUUUUCCUCUUCCUUUGACACACACACAAAAAUAAUCCAUUUGUUUCAUUCCCCACAAAACAAAAAAUCAAAUAUUAAAUUAACUUCCCCUGAAUCAACUCUGUUUGAAAGUCGAAAAUUUGAAAAUUUGGGAUAGAAAUUGGUGAUCUGGGUAUGGCUAUAAUAAGGAGUAUAAUAGAAGACAUGAGAUCCAGAUCUCAUAGGGUAGCGGUUGUGGUAGAUAAGGAAGAAGAGAAAGUGGUGGUUGGUGAUAGUUUAAGGCAAAGUUGUUGGGCCAACAUGCCUCAAGAGCUUCUCCGUGAAGUUCUUCUCCGAAUUGAGGCGUCGGAAGACACGUGGCCGCCGAGGAAGAACGUUGUUGCAUGUGCUGGAGUGUGCCGGAGUUGGAGAGUUAUCACUAAAGAAAUCGUUAAAAAACCUGAACUUUCAUCUAAGAUAACUUUCCCCAUUUCUGUUAAGCAGCCGGGCCCAAGGGAGAAUCUCAUUCAAUGCUUUAUAAAGCGCAACCGGUCCACUCAAACGUAUUAUUUAUUUCUCAGUUUAACUAGUUCGCUAGGUGACGACGGAAAGUUCCUUCUGGCUGCACGCAGAUGUAGACGUCCUACAUGCACAGAUUAUAUUAUCUCUCUACAUGCCGAUGAUAUGUCAAGAGGAAGCAACAACUAUGUUGGGAAACUGAGAUCAAAUUUCCUCGGAACGAAGUUCACAGUCUAUGAUGGCCAGCCACCUCAUGCAGGGGCAAACAUUACUAAAAGUCGUUCAACUAGGUUGGUGAAUCUGAAGCAGGUUUCACCAAAGGUCCCAAAUAGAGACUUUACGGUGGCCCACAUCUCAUAUGAAUUGAAUGUGCUAGGCUCUAGGGGGCCUAGGAGAAUGCAUUGUGUCAUGAAUUCCAUUCCUGCCUCUUCAAUUGAACCGGGAGGGGAAGCACCUACACAGACUGAGUUUUCUUUUAACAGCGUAGAUAUGUUUCCCCUGUUUCCUUUUUUCCGAUCAAAAUCAAAUCGUGUGGACAAAUCUCUAUCUGGACCCCUUGGUGAUCAAAAGGAUGGUAAGCUUGUGUUGAAAAACAAGGCUCCUAGGUGGCAUGAGCAGCUACAGUGUUGGUGCUUAAACUUUCACGGACGGGUGACAGUUGCCUCAGUUAAAAACUUUCAGUUGGUGGCUUCCGCAGAAAAUGGACCUGCUGGACCGGAACAUGAUAAGAUUAUCCUGCAAUUUGGAAAAGUUGGGAAGGAUUUGUUUACGAUGGAUUACCGAUACCCUAUCUCGGCAUUUCAGGCAUUUGCAAUCUGCCUCAGCAGCUUCGAUACCAAGAUUGCUUGUGAAUAACAACAUGUUUAAACAGUGGAUGAAAAUAGGAAACACAUGAAGUAAACUGGCCCUAAGUUUUCUAGCCAAUGCUUGAUUGCAUAGGUUGAAUCCAUGUUAUAUAUAUUUAUGAAGGUGAUUGGAUGGUAUUCAAACUGAAUCUAUAAAGACGGUGUUGCACAUAUGAGAGGGUUUUCAGUUAGUUCACCAUUCAUUGUAUGAAAAAUUGGAAUGUUACUAUUCCCUUUGUACUGUACAUAAAUUAUUUCUUUCUUUCUCUCUCAAAUUUUCUUUUCUUAACAAUUUGCUUUUUUUAAUUUGGUUGUUUGCUUUAUGCAAUGUGUAAUAUAGUUGUUUGUGUCUACUUGUAAUAAGAAAUGAUAAUACUGUUACUAUGUGGACUUUCUAAUGUAGCAACACAUUGGUUUCAUUGUGCAUGGAGAA